AACGAACGCUGGCGGCAUGCCUAACACAUGCAAGUCGAACGAAGCCUUCGGGCUUAGUGGCGCACGGGUGCGUAACGCGUGGGAAUCUGCCCUUUGGUUCGGAAUAACAGUUGGAAACGACUGCUAAUACCGGAUGAUGACGAAAGUCCAAAGAUUUAUCGCCAGAGGAUGGGCCCGCGUAGGAUUAGCUAGUUGGUGUGGUAAAGGCGCACCAAGGCGACGAUCCUUAGCUGGUCUGAGAGGAUGAUCAGCCACACUGGGACUGAGACACGGCCCAGACUCCUACGGGAGGCAGCAGUGGGGAAUAUUGGACAAUGGGCGAAAGCCUGAUCCAGCAAUGCCGCGUGAGUGAUGAAGGCCCUAGGGUUGUAAAGCUCUUUUACCCGGGAUGAUAAUGACAGUACCGGGAGAAUGAGCCCCGGCUAACUCCGUGCCAGCCGCCGCAGUAAGAC
rnacentral:rRNA from 1 species